rnacentral:lncRNA from 1 species
GAGUUCCUGCCGGCCUCGCCGGUGCAGUUAAUUUUAGCUGGGGUUUGUUCUAUGAGUUGUAAAACUGUUUACCCAAGUAGAAGUUAGUAAGCUGAAAUGUGACUUCUCGCCCGAUGUGAGAGGAGCCUGUUUUAGACUGAGAUUGUGUUCGUGAUCCCAGGAGCAGUCUUCUGAAGAAUUGCAGCUCCGAUUUCCUUUGAAAGUACUUUGUAAGUACUGAGUGAAUGUCUGAGAUUUUUUAGAAAUCUUUGUUCUUUGGUCUUUUCUCCUUGAAUCUUCCUAAUGUUGCUAUCACAGUAAUUUUUUUUUCUCUCUCUCGGGGAAACUGGAAACUCUGGGAUGGGUACUUGAGGGUGUUCUAAGAAUGGAGCCGAAAGGUUUUUUUCCUGAAACGUAUUCUGCUGCAAGAAACCUGCCUUACUCAGUUUGCCUAGGAGAAAGUAUUUGAUUCUUACUAUUUUUAUCUUUGCAAAAGCAACCUGUGGAUUAUUAUAUAUUUUACCAGUUAAAAUCUUUGGUUAAUAGAGUGGUGUGUUAAUGAGCUUUAUUUUCAAUGGUAACCUAACUCUUAGAGGAAAAAACAUGUUAAAAAUUCCUGUGGAAUUGUACUUACCGUGAGCUACAAGUUUAUGUGCAGAAAUAAUGAGAGUGUCAAAUGUGAUUUUGUAAAAUAUGCAGAUGGCGAGUUUUUUCUUUUUAAGGAGGAUUGUUGUCCUUAAAAACAGACCCUCCUACUCCUAAAGAGAAGCUCUUAAAAAAAUAAAGGUAAAUUUAGGAGGAUGCCUUUGGCUAGUAAUUGAACGCAUCCUCUGGAAGAUGGAUUUAGUAAUCGCAAUUAAUCAAAGGUCAUGGAAUUCCCUAAUCCUGACUCUGCUCUUGAUUUAACACGUUGCUGCCAAUUUAAAUUUGGACUGAAGAAACCUAAAGAUUUUAACCUAGAAUAAAUAUUUUGAGUUGAGUCUUAAUCACCUUUGCUAAAGUUUGAAGUGUUUUAAUUCCAAGGACUCUGACUUCAUGCCAAACAGCUUGCUUAUGACAGGGAACCGACAGGAAUUUCUUAAUCCAUUAACGGGUAAAUUAUCUCCCCUCUGGGAAUGUGGAUUUUAAGGCACCGACUCUAAUGGGUGGUGUCUUUGCUGUUCCCCAGACCUCAGGGCUCCAGUAUCUGUGGGCCUAGAGGAAGGCAUGCCCUUAGAUGCCAUUUUCCAUUUGGAAAGCUGCAUUUAAAGACUUCUUUGUUGUUAUGUAUUGUCUGAUUUUUAAAUCCCAACGACCCAAGGUGCCAACAAUGAAAGGAAAUGUUUCAGUGGCACAGUUAGUAGGACAAGAAUGUAAGAAGGAAAAAGAGAACUGAGUUCUUGGGCUAUUUUUAGAAAGAAACUUAAAAAAAAAAAAAAAAAAAAAAAAACCUUAAGCCUUUUUAUUGAGCCGAAGAGAAGUGUGCCGCCCAGAUCCCUGGCAAUUAUAACGGCAAAGUCUGUAAUGUCAUCUUCAGCCGUUCAAGGGCCGAUGAGCGUGUCCUUCAGAGUAUAUACUUUUAUCCAAAGGAACUAACUGUUCUUCUGUUAACUGUUACCAAGGCACCAUCAGAAUGCCAGGCUUUAGAGGUGUGCUGUAGUUGGACAUGAGCUCAUUUUCAAGCUGUUAUUCAUCUGCUCCGUUGUAGUUUAGUCCUGUGGAAAAGAAAAGCUGUUUAAGAGCCAUCUAGUUUUUAAUUUAACAAAAGGAGUUUCCAGAGGUGUUUGCACCAUGAGGAAGCCUGUGUUCUUUUAGGAGGAGUUGCUGAAAUGCUCAUCACCACUUGCAGCCUGUUGCCUUGGUGAUUUACGCGCGCUGUGAAACAGUGAUAGAGGCAGAGGAGCACGUUUCCAUGAUGUCAGGGUCGGGGUGGGACUCUCUCCUGUUUGCCCGUGAUGAUGCUCCUCCCUGCUACGGUCACAGUCCCCUCCUGAGAAGAGGCUUUGUGGACUGGCCGUGACCUUGGCCCUGACAGGUCCCUGUGCACUCACCUCAGCCUCCCACGGGAAUCCAGAUGCCGAGAAACCUGGGUAGCUCUGGGCUGUGGCCGGAGCCUGUGGCUUCAGCUGUGUGCUGGGCACACUGCUCUUGACUUGAUGCCUCCAGUCGUGUGUGCCCUGCUCUCCUGGCAGCCCGCCCUCCCGUCCUCAUCCUCCCCCUCUCAAAAUAGUUCUAGCCCCAGAGGCCCUGACAGAGGAACUCCUGACUGCUCUGGAUUCCUAGAGAAGGGCCAUCUGCUGUAAGCCUCAAGGGGGCUCAGGGAGACGGAGAGGACCCUUCCUCUGGAUGCCCCGCGUCCACUUUUUUUUUUUUUUUUUUUCUUUUCUUUCAGGGCCGCACCUGCAGGAUAUGCAAGUUCCCAGGCUAGGGGUCGAAUCGGAUCUAUAGCUGCCAGCCUGUACCACAGCCACAGCAAUGCCAGAUUCAGGCCACAUCUGUGAUCUACACCGCAGCUCAUGGCAACGCCGGAUCCUUAGCACAUUGAGUGAGGCCAAGGAUCGAACCCGUAUCCUCAUGGAUUCUAGUCGGGUUUGUUACCACUGAGCUACGACGGGAACUCCCCAGCUUCCCUUUUGGUUUGGAGCUGCUCAGGGACCACAGCUCUGGAAUGUUCUCUCCCAGAAGGAAAUGUUGCAGGGCUCAGGCUCAAUGCUGAGUUUCCACGUUCUAUCUGGAGCAGCGGGGGCGGGGGGUGGGCUUGGGCUCUGCCAUCUAGGGCACAGGGUGUGGUCGUAGGACCCAGCCCCCGGGCAGGGAAUCUGAGGGCUCCUGGAAAUGCUGGGGCACUGUUACUGUUCAGCUGUAGUAAGCGCCCCCAGAGCCAAACAAUGCACAAAGGAAGCGAUGGUGCCUACUCGCCAAGAACCCUCGUGCUCGAAGUAGGCGGGCCCCAGAGCUGACUUACACAUCGAGUGAGCUGGCAGAGCCAAGAAUGGAAGGAAGGAGAGGAGAACAGGGUGAGCAGGGAAGGUCCGGGGUCGCCCUCAGGCCACCUUUCAGUUCAUCUGGCCUUUUGCCAGGGGCAGAGCCACCGGGCACUGCCUUCCCUGUUCCUGGGAAGGGGUGGAGGUGGGGGCGAGGACGGCCUCCCGGGCCUGACCCACAGCCCCAGUUCCCUGUGAUGAUCCCCGGCACUGGGAGGAGGCUCAGGAGUUUCCGCCUGCACCUGGACUGUUGCUGUUCUGUAGAGCAAGAGACAUGAUGCGUCUAAAAGGCAGGCAGUGUCUUUUCUCCAUAGAGUGCUCUUGGGGUGGAAGUACGAAUUGGGGUUCCAGAUUUUCUCUCCCUUUGAAACUGAAAUAUUCCCGAACUAGUUACUUAGCCCCAUUCUGGUUUGGGAGGUUGAGUCAACUGUUAAAUUAGGGAAGUGCCUUGAACUGCUCAGAAGAAAGGUGUUUCGAAGGCCAACUCAGCGUUAUUGCAGCUCUCAGAGGAGUCAGAAGGCUGUGAAUCAGAGGCAGUAAAAAAGGUGAGCUCGGGUAUUGGAGAUUAAUAAAUAGGAGGACGGGUAUGAAUCUGUGAGUCAUUUUCCCUUUAUACUCAAGCUCAUCCCAUCGCUGACUAAGGUUCUGGGUCUCAUUCCACGGAUCCACAACUGAGAGAACCUUGGAGAGACUGCAACAGAGAAGCUCAGAAAUGACUAAAGGGUUGAAAAAUGAUGCCUGUGCUAAGAUGUUAGGGAGCUUCUCUUCUUUAGCCCGUAGGGGAAAAAAUGACCAGGGGACUUGUGAAUUGUUAUUCAAGCAUCUGUGUGCUUCGGUACCAGGGAACAGUGGCCGGCUAGGAUUCGGUUCUCUCGAGGAUGUGAGUGUUUGGUCCAGUUAGGGUUGAGUCAGAACCGCAGUCCCCACAGUGUGAUCCACUAACCUCAGCAUCAAUAGCACCUGGGAGCUUGUGAGAAUUGCACAUUCUCAGGCCCCACUCAGGACCUGCCAAUUCAGAAACUAUGGGAUGGGGCCCAGCAACCUGUCUUUGAACUAACUGCCCCACCCCCACCCCCACACGUAAUUCAGAUGCACACUGAAGUUUGCGGACCACUAGACAAGGUACUAGAAGGGUUCUUAUAAAUUGAGGACUUGGGGUACAGCAAAGUCUAAACUUUUUUCCUGAAGUCUCUAAAAAAUGGGUUUGGAUUAGUUUGCAAUGUUUUCAACAUUCUGUCUGCAGUCAGAAGGUCACUGACCUCCCAGAGUCCGAGUAGCCCUGACUCUGCUCUGGAUGUCCUCCGUCACUUAAGAUGAAUAAUAAUAAAAAAAUUUUUUAAAAAAAGAAGAUGAAUAAUUAACCAGGAGAAUCGGGCAAUUACUUUUCUGAACUCAGUGGUUAAGACAGUGCCCAUGUCGUGUGAUCACAUGAGCUGUUGUGAUAGUAAUAAGUUGUGUUAUCAGAUAGAUCCUGCUUAGAUCACAGUCCUGUUAAUUACAGCGACUGUCUUCUCCCCACCUGAGGAGAGGUUUGGGCAGUGGUCAGAGGGGGAGCCCUUCGCUGCUAGCCCAGAACCCCUCCACGUCACAGCUGCUGGCUGGGUGGCUGCUCUUUUCACAGAGCGCCUUUCAAAAGAAAGGUAACCGCAGGGAAGUUUGUCUCUACCCCCUUGUCCUGCCUCUGUCACUUCCACCUGCAGGAAUGCCUGCCUUCUGCCUGCACAGGAAUCCCAUCUGGUGCCCUGGAAACUGGGGACAGUGGGGGACCUAAGUAUCUAGCAUUGGCAGGUCUCUCCAAGACCUGGAGGCCACAGACCUAUUUAUCCUGUUGCUUUGUAUCUACAGCAGACAGCGGAUGGUACACAGAGUAGGCACUUGGCACAAAUACAUAGUUCAUUAUUCUGUGGCAGCAUCCAAGGUCACAGGUGCUCUGCCCUCUGCCAUGUAGCUAAGGAUCUAGAGUCAGGAAUCAGCAGUUCUGACCCUUCCCCAUCAAAAUACUUGUUCCUAAGAGUCCCUCUACCCCCGCCCCCCAAUUUUGCACAUAAUAUCAAUGCAUCUUAAUUCAGUUGUCUUUGCCACUCUUAUAUAUUUUUCCUUUGUAUUUUUGCUUGGAACUGUCUGUGGUUGAAAACACAAACUCGUGGGGGUGGGGUGAGAGGUCUGUUGUGCUACAUUGUAUAGCAUUUAAUGCAUUCAGAGCUUGCCCCAUCAGAAUGAGGAAGGGGUCCUCUGAGGACAUGCUUGGCCAGCCCUGCCUUAGAAAGUGUUGCACAGGCAGCGAACGGCUGUCCCCAGGGAGGACACGUUCAGCCUUGGCGGGAGCCCUGAGGCCCCGAGGCUUUAGCACUGAGAAUUGGGAUCGGUGGGAGCCUGGGCUUUCAUAGCUGUAGUUAACUACACCUCUGCAGGGUAUUAAAGACCUUCAAGUGAGGGCUCCUGGCUCAGACCCCAGUUUGCCUUGUAAGGGGAACGAGAGGGUUAAAGGCCGCAGGUGUGUAUUCUGAGCCGUUUGUGAGCCUUCAGACCUCGAUAUGUUGGAAAAAACUGACCUCUCAGAUGUUAAGCUGUGGGCACUGUUACUUCCCGAGGCCAUGUCCCUUGCAGAGUGUGCAAGGCCUGCUCAGUGUGCUGGCUGUGCACAGAGGCACUCGAUUGGUCUCAGCAAUCCGGAGGGCAGGCGGCUGAUUUUAACACCCUGGAUCAGUCUCCGAAUAGGAAACGUUUUCUUUAAAACCCAUGAACUCUCAACAACUAUAUCUAGCAGAGCAGAUUCCAAAUGUCUGGUCGAUUUAUUUCUUAAUAAAUAGCAGGGGAAAGGCUAUUUUCAUUUCUCUACAAAGAGGAAUGACUGACUGGUCCUUUUGGUAUUACAUCCUGGCAAAAAUAAUUUUGUUUUCAAAGUCAGUCGUAUCUUGCCCACGUAUAUGUCGUGAAAAAUGAGAGUUGUGGAGUUCUCGUUGUGGCUCAGCAGUAAUGAACCCAGCUAGUACCCAUGAGGACAUGGGUUUAGUUCCUGGCCCCACACAGUGUGUUAAGGAUCUGGUGUUGCUGUGAGCUGCAGUGUAGGUCACAGAUGCCGCUUUGAUGUGGCGUUGCUGUGGCUGCGGUGUAGGCCAGCAGCUGUACCUUUGAUUUGAUCCCUGCCCUGGGAACCUCCAUGUGCUGCGGGUGCAACUCUAAAAAUUAAAAAAAAUUUUUAAUAAAAUUAAACUUCUGGGAGUUCCUGUUGUGGCUCAGCAGGUUGAAGACUUGACAUUGUCUCUGUGAGAAUGUGGGUUCGAUCCCUGGCCUCUGCUCAGUGGGUCAAGGAGUCGGCAUUGCUGCAAGCUGUGGUGUAGGUCGCCCAUGUGGCUCGGAUCUGGUGUGGCUGUGGCUGUGGUGUAGACCUGGAGCUGCAGCUCUGAUUAGACCCCUAGCCUGGGAACUUUCAUAUGCCACAAAUGUGGCCCUAAAAAGAAAAAAAAAAA